CCGGGCCUCCGCUCCUUCCCCGCCGCCGACGGACUGUCCGGCCGCAGGCGACGGGCGAGGGCGGCGUGAUCGGGCGCUCGCUGUUCAAGAAGGAGACGAACAUCCAGCCGUUCGCGGGGCUGCGCGUGCGCCUGUCCACCGGCGAGCUCGGCCUCAUCGAGGGCGCCUUCGGCCAGAGCGGCAAGUUCAAGGUCAGCGUCCCCGGCGGCCUCAGCGAGGAGGCCAAGAGGAUCCUGGCCCCGGCUCCCAAGAGGCGAGGCCGGGCGGGCCGCGGGGAGGCAGCCUCGGCCUCCCCCGGGCAGGAGGAGGCCACGGAGCAGGCGGAGGCCGCAGCCCAGCAGCACGUGACCCUCAGCCUCUCUUUCAAGCGCUACGUCUUCGACCCCCAGAAACGCAUGGUCCAGUCGCCCUGACGGCCUCCGCGCCCGGCCUCCGCGCCCGGCCUCCGCACCGAGCCUCCGCGGCGAGGGGGCCCGGGGGCUGCCGUGCCAGACGCCCCCAGUGACGAGCUGGGGACAGCGGUGGCACUUGUCACCGAGCCCCGGAAAAGGAACCGGCCUCCGCCACGCCGUUCGAGGCUCCGCCAGGCCUCCACCCCUGGCCUCCUUGGUCUCCGACGGCUGCCAAUAAACGUCACGUGUGUCCACA